GUGCUCAUUUGGAGGCGAGAAAGAGAGACAGAGAGAGAGAGAGAGAAGAGAGGAGAAGAGAAAAUGCGUUCAAUUUUGAAUUUAAUUGGAGGGUUCGUGUGUUGUUGAGGUGUUUAAUGUGUCCAGCUGAUCGUGUCGCGUUUGUGAGCAAUUCUGUAGUCGUUGACGCAGAUUGCGAUGGCUUUAUUUUAUUUUAUUCAUAUGUAGAUUUAAUGUCAUUUUAUUUUGUUUCUUAUGUUGAAAGUUAGUGGUUUAUUUUUCAGUUUUUUUUUGCUUUCAAUGGUUAUUUUUUUUAGGUGAGCGAGUGGCGCAUUGUGAUUGAACAGAUUUGCGCAAUGUCCUGUUGGAUAGGGUGAUGAGGGCAUUGUCUUGUACUGCAAAGAGGAGUCAUGUUGGAUGUGGUAUGGAAUGAAAUUCAGUCAACGAUGCUCGCUUCCCUAUGCACGGAAUAAUUUAUGGCCUGUUGUAUGUGAGGCGUUGAUGGGUAGUUUGGGAGAGCAGAUGUUAGCCAUUGGUGAUGCGGUGAGUGGAGAUUGGCAGUGGAGGUUUCCUAAUCUCCAGGUCGGUUUUAUAUGGCUCAGAUUGGUUUACAGACUUUGAAGUGACGAGGGAUUCGACGAUUGUUUUCGCCAACGAUUCCCACAUUUUAUGCAUGCGUGGGUGCCAAUUAUGCUGCAUCUCAUCAUUCGUGGCAGAAUUGCCUUGUGAGCGUCCAUUUAUAGCAAAGGCAAUAAAUCUUGAUCUCCAGAGGAAACAAGUGGGGUGGUACUGUUUCCAGUUUUUACUGUGGUGGAACAGGAAUCUACUUCAUUCUGACCAUUAUUGGAAGUGAAAUGGUCGGGAAAAGAUGGAAUUUGCGUGCCGUGAGGGUUUUGCGCACUCCUUGGGUCCUAGUCAACGAGUCUUCGAGAAAGCUCACCGAACCUGCUCAACAAAACAAGACAGGUGACAUUGCAAAUUUCAUUUGAAAAAUUAGUUCCAUUGCAGACACACUCAUCUUCAAGCAACGUCGUGGAUGCAACACGUAAUAUUAUGUAAUAUCUCUCCGAGAUACAGGAAUAUGAAAGAGGGGGGCGGAUCGACUACCUAAUCAACCCACACUGUGCUGGCCAGUUUGGAUAGAAUGUUACUAGGAAGUUCA
rnacentral:lncRNA from 1 species